GGACUCUGAUGAUCCUUUGUCUUAACUUUGAAUUGAACUGAAAGAAUCAUCUUUGGAUUUCAGGGAGUCCUCGAGUGGAUGAUGUGGAUGAUGUUGAUGAUUUGGCGAAUGAGUUAAGUUAUGGCCAAGGAAAGGCCAAGGCACGGCCGCAGUGGGAUGAAGAUGCUGACAUCUCUUCCUCUUCAAGACAUGAACAACCAAUUCCACUUUUGACUCAUCGACACCAAAUUUCUAGGGAGACUGCUACACCUGAUACGUAAUCAGGUCGAACUACAUCAGGCCCUUUAGGUCCAUCUGACAAGGUUCACUCACUUCCAUAUGUUGAUCAAAUGCAACCAGCUCCAGUAAGAAUUGUAGAUCCAUCAAAGGACUUAAAUUCUCAUGGUCUUGGAAAUGUUGACUGGAAAGAAAGGGUUGAAAGUUGGAAACUCAAGCAGGAGAAGAAUGUGGUGCAUGUGAAUGGUAGUAGAUAUAAUGAGGGGAAAGGUGAUAUUGAAGGA